UCCCUAGUGGCUUAGCAGUAAAAGAAUCUGCCUGCAAUGCAGGAGACUCGGGCUCAAUCCCUGAGUAGGGAA
rnacentral:tRNA from 1 species